rnacentral:rRNA from 1 species
UGGCGGCAUGCCUCCCUUUUGCAAGUCGAACGAGGCCCUUCGGGGUUGAGGGGCGCACGGGUGCGUAACGCGAGGGAAUCUGCCCUUGGGUUCUAAAUAACGGCUGGAAACGGUUGCAAAUACCGGAUGAUGAGGAAAGUCCAAUUAUUUAUCGCCAGAGGAUGACCCCGCAUUGGAUUAGGGAGGGGGUGGGGGAAAGGCCUACCAACCCAACGAUCCUGACCUGGUCGGAGAGGAUGAUCAGCCGCACUGGAACUGAGACCCGGCCCACACUCCUACGGGAGGCAGCGGAGGGUAAUAUUGGGCAAGGGGCCCAGGCCUGAUCCAGCAAUGCCGCGUGAGAGAGGAAGGCCCUAGGGUUGUAAAGCUCUUUUACCCGAAAAGAUAAUGACUGUUCCGGAAAAAUAAGCCCCGGCUACCUCCCUGCCAGCAGCGGCGGUAAUA